rnacentral:rRNA from 1 species
UGACCUCAGAUCAGGUAGGGAUACCCGCUGAACUUUAA